rnacentral:tRNA from 1 species
UGCGGGGUGGAGCAGUCUGGUAGCUAGUCGGGCUCAUAACCCGAAGGUCGUUGGUUCAAAUCCGACUCCCGCAUCCA